rnacentral:rRNA from 1 species
AUGGAGUACGUCAACCCUCUCACCGGCUUCCGCGUCGACGGCCGCCGCCCCAACGAGAUGCGGCAGCUCAAGGGCGAGGUCGGCGUCGUCUCCAGGGCCGACGGCUCGGCGCUCUUCGAGAUGGGCAACACCAGGGUCAUCGCCGCGGUCUACGGACCUCGAGAGAUCCAAAACAGGAGUCAGCAACAAAAUCGUAAAGAGGCUUUGGUGCGUUGUGAGUAUAGAAUGGCAGAAUUUAGCACUGGGGAUCGAAGGAGAAAGCCAAAAGGUGACAGGCGAUCAACAGAAAUUUCUCUUGUUAUUCGACAAACAAUGGAGGCAAGCAUAUUAACACAUUUAAUGCCACACUCACAGAUUGACAUAUUUGUCCAAGUUCUUCAAGCUGAUGGUGGAACCAGGUCCGCAUGCAUCAAUGCUGCAACACUAGCACUUGCAGAUGCUGGGAUUCCAAUGCGAGACAUAGUCACAUCUUGCAGUGCUGGGUACCUGUGUUCUACUCCUUUGCUUGAUCUGAACUAUAUAGAAGACAGCGCUGGAGGCGCGGAUGUCACCGUUGGCAUUCUUGCAAAGAUGGACAAAGUGACUCUUCUGCAGAUGGACGCGAAACUACCAAUGGAUACAUUUGAGACUGUGAUGGACCUUGCAACUGAAGGGUGCAAAGCGAUCGCAACCUACAUCCGAGAGGUGCUAUUGGAGAACACGAAGCAGCUGGAGUGUCAGCGAGGCUAG